GUUUCCGUUGUGUUUUGGCCAAGUUUCCAUGUAAUGGGGCACGUUCGGUGUAGUACUAGAUUUGUAGUAAUGAGCUGAAUUUUUGUAUGGUGAGAAGGUCAAUUCUCCGUUUCUGCAAUGAAAUGGUGCAAAAAGCGUGGGUAUUAUAAUUCCUUGCCUAAUUUGAUGCUGCUUGAGCAAAACGUUGGAUAAUUAUGUUGUUUAUGUUGCAAGAAAUGGAGAAAACAACAACACUGUUGCCCAAAGUUUUGCUCAAACAGCAUCAAAUUAGGCAAGGAAUCAUAAUACCCACGCUUUUUGCAUCAUUUCAUUGCAGAAAUUGAGAAUUGACCUUCUCACCAUACUAAAAUUCAGCUCAUUACUACAAAUCUAGUAUUUCACCGAUCUGUCCUAUUGUUUGACAGCUAAGCAGUGUCCAAAUGUUUUUAUCAAGCUUAUAAGAAGAGGUUUAGUGAAGCUGAAUUUUAGCCGUUUUCUCUGAUAUAACUCACAGCGCGUGCAAGUUUUGACCGUAAAAAGUGAAUGAAAUUGAUUAUCAAUCAAUUCAACCAUGCAGUUUGUUAAAGAAGGUUAAUGUUGUUGUUCUGUUUAGUUUAAACUAAAACAAAUUGACGUUAAAUUUUCCAUGCAAUAUAUGAAAAAUAAUGAAAAAAAAUAUGUGAUGGAAUCUUUUACCGUACAUUCAAAAUGUACGGGAAAUCUUCUUUUAGUGUAUGAUAAAACUAUUGUUCUUCUUUCAAAUGCAGAAAGAAAACCUUCCGGAUGUUUCCGGUUUCAAAAGUUGCAGCACUUUGGACAAAUCGUGAUAAUUAUGAUACAGUGUAUCAAACAAUUGUCCGUACAGCAUUUUUUGGUCAAAAUAAUUUUUCAUUCAAAUGUUUAUAACUUUUUUAUACGUCAAUCAAAAACGUUGAAAUUCUGACCAAUCAUGAAUCAUAUAUUAAUGCUCCUUUGAUAAAAUUUUGAGCGAGAUCGAAUAAGUUUACUGAAAGUUAUAGAACUUUUAGUAAAACUUAUCAGAUUUUGAACACAUUUUUAAAACAUUAUAUCUCACUCUGUACUCGAUGAACUUUUUUAUUUAUUUUUUGUGUUACAGUUUAUACCUUAGGCUUUCAUAUGCAGCUUCGUUUGAGGUUUUAUAUUCACUACAAAAAAUAUGAAAAAUCUGUAUAUGUUCAAAGUAUUAUUUGGAAAUUUAUCAUAUUUUGAUCAAUAAAAGUGCCAAGUAUUUUCACCUUUUUUACUCUCUCGUAAUGCAAUAUUUUUAUACAGGACCUACUAAACUACAUAUGAAGAGUAGGUCCUAUGCAUUUUUCGUUCAGUUAAUGUACUUUUAUUGGUGGAAAACGUUUGGCACAUUAUAUGUCCAAAAUAUGGUAAUUUUUGAAAUAUCGUCAACCACAGACAAACAGACGUAACACUAUUUAAAACGGCUUGGCACAUGCAUUUAACAAUCAAUUCAAAUUUCAUUUGAUUUGCGCGAUCGUUCCACCAGAUGCGCUAGUGUUCGAUCGCUUUGACGUUUGCCAGUGUACACAUUGCUGAAUGAUGCAAACGAAAAUUACAGGCAAUUUGUGUAGUAGUGUGCGUGUCAGCCAAACGUCAAACCGAAAUCCAUCAUGGCCGACAGUGUCGCACGCGGUUCUACCAACAGGUGGCAGUGUGCUCAUAAAAAUGACACCGGGCAAAAAUUUUUGAUGAAUUUCCUCUAAGAGUUACGUCUGUUUGUCUGUGCGUCAACUUUAUAAGCACAUUUUACAUAUUUUUUGUAGUGAAUAUAAAACCUCAAACGUAGCUGCAUAUGAAAGCCUUAGGCUUAAGCUGUAACACAAAAAAAAAUGAAAAGGUUUCAUCGAGUACAUAUUGAGAUAUAAUGUUUUAAAAAUAUGAUCAAAAAUCUUAAAAGUUUUACUAAAAGUUCUAUAACUUUAAAAAAACUUAUUCGUUCUCGCUCAAAAUUUCACCAAUAGAACAUUAAUAUAUGAUUCAUGAUUGGUCAAAAUUUCAGCGAUUUUGAUUGACGUAUAAAAAAGUUAUAAACAUUUGAAUGAAAAUUAUUUCGACCAAAAAAUUGAUGUACGGACAAUUGUUUGACACUGUAUUACUUGCCUAUAAACACUAUUUGGCCCUCUCAACGUAUUUUUUGCUGGAAACUAGAAUUCAACGUUAAAAGCCGUUGAAAGCAAAAUAAGAAGUUUAAAAUCGGACAGCUGGUUAAAAAGCUGUGAUUAAAAAAAUAGUUUUGAAAAAUCUUGUUUUUUGUUUUACAAUCAUAAAGUUGGUCACCCUAAUGACGAAUUAAAAAAAAAACGGAUCUAAUUAUUUUCGAAAAAGACAAAACCACCAAGCAUCACGAUGUUCGGAGACACACUACAUAGAUCGAUUUUCUAUGGAAUGGUUCUUCUUCUUCUUCUUCUUUUUGGUGUAACGUCCUCAUCGAGACAAAGCCUGCUUCUCAACUUCUAUGAGCACUUCCACAGUUAUUAACUGAGAGCUUCCUCUGCCAAUGACCAUUUUGCAUGCGUAUAUCGUGUGGCAGGCACGAAGAUACUCUAUGCCCAAGGAAGUCAAGGAAAUUUCCUUUACCGAAAAGAUCCUGGACCGACCGGGAAUCGAACCCGUCACCCUCAGCAUGGUCAUGCUGAAUACCCGUGCGUUUACCGCCUCGGCUAUAUGGGCCCUUAAUGGAAUGGUUGUAUUAUUUAAAAAAAAAUCUUGUUGAAAUCGGUUAGAUUGGUCGUUUCUCACUGCUAGGUGAAUUUAUUGUUAUAAAAUUCAUUGAAAACUAUGAAACACGUUUCAUUACUAGUUUAGGUUGCGAAAAUACGUCAAAAUAAUUUUGAGCGGUUUUGAUGUACUAGGUGCUCCACUGUGCAACGGUGGCCCACCAUCUCUUUUAAUCGCAAGCCCUAUUUCGUCACUGUGGUCAUCAUAGGUCAUCAUCAUUGGUUUCGGCUCGUUAUCUCAUGUCGACUUUCGGUUGCUUUUGAUUUUUACAACUGGCUCGAAAGGCCGGACACUAACAUCCUGAGCUUCAGGAAUAACAUCACAUUUAUGCAAUGUUUUGCUAAGAGUUCCUUGAUGGCACUAGAACCAUGAUCAGAUGCUCCUAAAAUGAAGAACACAGGUUGUUAUAAGUCUCUCAGUACGCAGGACGUAUUGCCGAUAUGAAGAAGAUCUAACUGUACAUACUGUCCUAUCAUUGAAAUUGUUCUCCUCUCUGUUGUCAAUAUCCAUGCUAUAACUGGGACGAAUGUCCAAACACAAGCAAACCUUGGAUGAUUUUUCCUGACAUCUCACAUCAAUGUAGAUGAGAGAUAAAACCCAUCCGUGGCAUUAAUUUUCCCCCAACCCAAAUUGAUCGAUCCAGCAUAUCAUCUCUGAACACUCCCCCACCGCGCUGGGUUCAGCUCUGCCAUUCUGGCGCUGUACAUUGCAUAAUGAGGGAACCGAUCAACACGACACUGCCGCCGGCCGGCUAUGAUCGCUAAGCGCUUAGCUAGUGUAUAGAUUGGGCAAACAGUUGAGCAUUUGCUACCGAGAUCAUUGUUGUGUAGGGCGCCUUUAUGAAUCAAAGUUUUUUUUUGUCCCGGAACUCUGAUGGACGCCAAGCAGAAGCUCGGGAAUAUCUUCAAUCUCACCUGACCUAUGUAGAAGAAGAAGAGCGCGAAGCAAGUUCACUAUAAUCGGGGAAGAUCAUGUCUAACACGACCUAAAUGUGUAAUUGCUAGCGAGCCAUAUUACGGGAGGGACGGCAUUGGAGUCAUUCUGUGCACAGUAGGACAAAGUAGUUGCGAUACCUCGGACAAUAAUAAUAACGAUGUCUAAAAUUUCUCGAUGUUGGCAUCAUAGAUAUGUACUCUCACAUAGAUACCACCAAUGAUGCUAUAAAUGACUGAUCCUGUCUAGAUGUCCACUAGUAUGGGACACGCUUAUAUGGAAAAAAUAAAUCCUCGCUCCAGUCGACUUUUUAGAUCCCAUUCAGGUCCCAUAUGAACUGUACAAAAUUUCAGCGCAAUCGGUGAAACUAUAAUUUAGCGCAACCGGUUCAAAGUUUGCUUAGGAUUUACUAUGGGAAAAGUUACACUUUCAAACAAAAAAUCCUAGAGGUCACCCUUUGUCUCUUUAAUUCAAAUCAAUCAAUGCUUCUUGUAGAAAAAUCAUUUAUGAAACUUUCCUUCGAAGACCGCAAAACGAUUGGAUGCUUGUGGAAAAAGUUAUUGAUUUAUUACCGAUUAGUGAUCCAACGAACGGCUUUUUGUUUUGUUUUAUCAGCAGCACUGCUGCUGCCGUUGUUGCAUGGGGUGGUGGGAGGCAUCACCACCCCCAGAGACAGCAACAGCCAAGGCAGCAGCUAUAGUGCUGCUAAUAAAACAAAACAAAAAGCCGUUCGUUGGAUCACUAAUCGGUAAUAAAUCAAUAACUUUUUCGACAAGCAUCCAAUCGUUCUGCGAUCUUCGAAGGAAAGUUUCAUAAAUGAUUUUUCUACAAGAAGCAUUGAUCGAUUUGAAUUAAGGAGACAAGAGACGACCUCUGGGAUUUUGUAUCUGAAAGUGUCACUUUUCCUAUAGUAAAUUCUAUGAAAACUUUGAACCGGUUGCGCUAAAUUAUAGUUUCACCGAUUGCGCUAAAAUAUUGCACAGAUCAUAUGGGACCUAAAUGGAAUCAAAAAAGUCGACUGGAGCGAGAAUUUGAUGUUUGUCCCAUACUAAUGUCCACAUCCUGGUCUAGAUCGUAUUAGCAUUAGAAACUUUAACGAAUAACCAUCAAAGCUUUAUCUGAAACUUCUAGGAGACAAUGUUAAAAUGAAGACUUGCCAGGCACAAGCAUACAGAUACAGAUUCUACUGUUUGGCCAUCUUUCUCCACGGGAAGUCCCAUUAUGCACUGCAGUGGAUAAUAUUUGAUAUUAGCGCACACGAUUUAGCACCAUCACGAAGUGUGAGAUGCGCGAGUGAGUGGAGAUUUCAGCAGCAACAAUCUACCUACCUACAACUGGCACGCCACGCGGGAGGAGAGCAUGGAUAAGCCGUUGAUGAUAAUCGGCGGCAACUUCAGCAGCGCACAACCUCUCGCCUUGCGCGCGCGCAUACGAAUCAAAUGCCGCGCGCUACAUGUCUUAUUAUAACGGUAAGGUAUUUUUUCGUCUUUUGAACAAUUUCCGCACAGCCAAGCCACCACAGUAAUCGUGUGGUGGCUGUGCAGCACCAUUCUCAACGCUCACCACAAAUUGAUUGUUUAGCUUUUUGUUGGUCUUUUGUUAUGUGACCUGGUUUUCUUGGUUGAAUCAUUUGAAAAGGUUGUUUUUUUUUUGGUUGGAGAUGAGAAGAAGUCCCGAACUGAAGGUCAGAGGUUUGAUAGGUAAAUUUGUAGUAGGGGGAGAUCCGCAUGAAUCGGUGCUGAAUUAUCAUUGUAUUAGAAAGACCGGUGCUCAAUUGAUCAACUUUGCAGCGCCAACCGUCAUUUGGUUUUUCAGAUUAGAGCCCUUGAAAUUCGAGGUAUGGCUUCGUUGCACCUUAAUCAAUUUCGCUUGUUCGCCGUAGCUACUGGCAGUUUUUUUAUUCUCUUUACUGUUUCGGAUUAGACGGGCUUGAUGGUCUAGUGACUAAGUACAGCUCCUGACUCAUAUGCAGAAAGUGCUGUGUUUAAUCCCUGGCUCGUUCCUUUCCUCGUACUUUGUAUAUUUCUACCUAUUUUCUCUUUCUUCUCUACAUAAUAAAUAAACAUCUUAUGUAUAUUCAUGUAUUCGUAGCCAUCGCUACAAGUUAUGCAACCAAGCGAACUGUGCCUCAUCAUCUUUACAGUGAUUUUCACUUCACACAAUCUAUCACUUUACACCUGGCAUCCAUGCACUAAUGCGUGUAACUUGUGCCAAAAAUAACCAUUUCCUAACAACGCUCCGACUUAGUGCAGACGAAGAGACUCAACGGCCUGAAGUGUGCAAGCGAUGGCAAUCAUCAAGUCCGAUGUCAAUUAUUCACAGGUCCGGGUAAACGUAUAUGUUUGCCUGUAUUUGUCGAUAAAAAUAUGUAAACAAACCGAUCAGCUGAUCGCGACGUCACGUUCGCUAGAAAAUUUGUUCGCAGCUUCUGGAACGUGACGUCACCUUCGGCAACUUCGUGCGAUUUCGGCUUGCCGAAGUUGACAUGACACGACUACUACUUCAAAAUUAUCAUAUCACCAACACCACUUUGCCCGAUGGGCCUAACCUGGUGAAAUUUAGAACAUUGCAUCAAGUCCUCCCCCUUCACCACAUUGACCGGCUACCUGACGUAGCAGGUGCCACUCUCGUCUAAGAAUAGAAGAUCACCAACGCACACACACUGAAAAUGCCUGUUUAGUCCCAUUGGUCGAUUGUGUAACUGAUCCUUCGAAACUGGAGUAGCAACUACGGGCGGUCACGCUCUCUUUACAGUUUUUGGAUUAUUUUUCAUCUUUCUAAAGUUACAAACAAUUUACGCUGGUAGUCGAUUAGCAAUUAUUCACACUGAUAACAUCUACGGUAUGAGCACAGGCAAUCUCAGCACAUUCAGUAACGUGUUCUAGGUUGAAGCAAUAAGAAGCUUUUUUUGGCACAAUUAUUAUCGACUAAGUAAAAUGAAGACGUGGGUGAUGGUUUUGCUUCUCCUGUUUCAGAUUCAAUAUCAAUUACAGGAAGCGAUUCCAGACAAUCCUGUCACCAGAUCUCGAACGCAAUAUAAGCCAAAGUUUUCUUACGAUCAAUUUUCGGGAGACCGUUUGGUUCCAUUCGUACUACUUGAGGAGGACGAUGAAUGAAUGACACAUCCCAGUGUUUCCUCAUACUCCAAUCACAGUGGCAAACUUCAUCAGACCAAUCCAACCAAGUGAAAUCAUCAGGUCUUGCCCAGCGGUAUGCCUUCACCAGUCUCCCUCGACAAAUCUUACUCUCCGGUUUUUGUGUGUGGGCCGAUAUCGUGCGGAUUAACAGUUCUGUUCCCUGGUAGGACGGUGGAACGGA